rnacentral:rRNA from 1 species
GACGAACGCUGGCGGCGUGCCUAAUACAUGCAAGUCGAGCGGAUCUCAAGGGGCUUGCCCCUUGAGGUUAGCGGCGGACGGGUGAGUAACACGUGGGCAACCUGCCUGUAAGACUGGGAUAACACCGGGAAACCGGUGCUAAUACCGGAUAAUUCUUUCCCUCACAUGAGGGAAAGCUGAAAGUCGGUUUUUAGCUGACACUUACAGAUGGGCCUGGGGCGCAUUAGCUAGUUGGUGGGGUAACGGCUCACCAAGGCGACGAUGCGUAGCCGACCUGGGAGGGUGAUCGGCCAGACUGGGACUGAGACACGGCCCAGAAUCCUACGGGAGGCAGCAGUAGGGAAUCUUCCGCAAUGGACGAAAGUCUGACGGAGCAACGCCGCGUGAGGGAUGAAGGCCUUCGGGUCGUAAAACUCUGUUGUUAGGGAAGAACAAGUAUCGGAGUAACUGCCGGUACCUUGACGGUACCUAACCAGAAAGCCACGGCUAACUACGUGCCAGCAGCCGCCGUAAUAC